rnacentral:rRNA from 1 species
UACGUAGGCAGCAAGCGUUGUUCGGAGUUACUGGGCGUAAAGGGUGUGUAGGCGGUUUGCUUAAGUUUGGUGUGAAAUCUCCCGGCUGCAACUGGGGAGGGUGCGCCGAAAUACUGAGUGACUCGGAGUGCGGGAGAGGAAAGUGGAAUUCCUGGUGUAGCGGUAGAAAUGCGUAGAUAUCAGGAGGAACAUCGGUGGUGUAGACGGCUUUCUGGACCGUAACUGACGCUGAGACACGAAAGCGUGGGUAGCAAACAGG